UAGGGGAAUUUGCUUAAUUGCACCACAUGUGUUUUUCUUUGAAACAAACUUGCUUUGGCGGUGGGCCCAGCCUGCCGCCAGAGGUCUAAACUUACAACCAAUUUUUUAUCAACUUGUCACACCAGAUUAUUACUAAUAGUCAAAACUUUCAACAACGGAUCUCUUGGUUCUCGCAUCGAUGAAGAACGCAGCGAAAUGCGAUACGUAAUAUGAAUUGCAGAUAUUCGUGAAUCAUCGAAUCUUUGAACGCACAUUGCGCCCUCUGGUAUUCCGGAGGGCAUGCCUGUUUGAGCGUCGUUUCUCCCUCAAACCGCUGGGUUUGGUGUUGAGCAAUACGACUUGGGUUUGCUUGAAAGACGGUAGUGGUAAGGCGGGAUCGCUUUGACAAUGGCUUAGGUCUAACCAAAAACAUUGCUUGCGGCGGUAACGUCUACCACGUAUAUCUUCAAACUUUGACCUCAAAUCAGGUAGGACUACCCGCUGAACUUAAGCAUAUCAAUAAGCGGAGGAA
rnacentral:rRNA from 1 species